GCUUUAGGAACUUGGAAGGCAUGACCUUACUCCAAUUUCCAAGAAUGAAACAUCUACAAUUCCUUAGAAUAUAUAGUUGUGGGGAGUUGCAAGACAUAAAAGUAGAUUUGAAAAAUGAGAGGGGUCAACAAGGAUUUGUUGCAGAUUAUAUACCAAACUCGAAUUUCUACUGCCUCCGAAGUGUACGUGUUCAUCAACUUCCAAAGGUUUUGGAUUUGACAUGGCUUAUUUACAUACCAAGUCUUGAAGAUCUUGAAGCAGGUGAAUGUGAUUCCAUGAAAGAAGUGAUAGGUGACACGAGUGUAGUCUCAGAAAAUUUUGGCAUAUUCUCAAGACUCAAAAUUCUGAGCUUGAGUAAUCUACCAAAUCUAGAGAGCAUCAGUGGACGAGCCUUGACAUUUCCUUCCCUGACGAAUCUCUGGGUGAAAAAAUGCCCAAACCUAAGGAAGCUGCCAUUUGAUUCAAACAGUGCAAGAAGCAGUUUAAAGACGAUUAGAGGAGAAUCAGAGUGGUGGGAGGGGUUGCAAUGGGAUGAUGAAACCACGAAGCACACUUUCAAUCCCUAUCUCGAAGAGACCAUCAUGUGAAGAAAUGAGAGGAUGGUGGAGAUCGCUCCCCUUCCUUCUCCCACCCUACUACUCUCUCAGAUUGUAUCAUUAGAGAAGUAUUUCUACAGACUGACCUCCCAGCUUUCUCGGAGCUCCACCCAGGAACUGCGGGGUUGCCUUGAAAUCAGUAAACUAUCGUCUUCAACAAAUAGUGAACUGGAUGAUGCCAGAAGCGCUGGCCGAGUGUUUGAAGAAAUGCUGGACUGAAACUUGAAUUCUUAGAAUAGGAUGAUCUGCAUACUGCUGAAAAUGAGCCAGGAGAAGAAGAAUUUACAAUGUUUCCAAGACGAGAUAAUAUGGAAUGAAGCCAAGCCAGGUGGCUCAACUUUUGUUGGUGUUCUACUACAUCUUGGUUUCUGAGGGUGGGCUGUGGAGGAUGGACUAGACAAUACUCGUAAGAGUCUAUGAGAUGGAUCGGGUGAAGUGGUUUUUAUUUACAGUAUUACACAUGUUGUCUGUAACGUAAUCAGUGAUGAAUCAAAAUUUUUUUAUUGAA